GGUCUAGGCUUGGGAGGAAGAUGGUGAGUGCCGUCAGCAUGUCAAGAUCAGGGUGAGCCCACUGCCCAUGCCCAGCACACUUGGGCCCACAGGAUGGCAGCCGCAGGACCGGGCCCCUAUGCCAGCCCCUGUCACUGUUGCCUAGUGGGCUGCGUGGGGGCUGCCGGCUGGGGUCACGGGCACUUCCCUGUGGCUCACAUUGAGGCCCUUUCAAGGUCACUGCCCGGUCUCCACGGCAUGGGCAAGGCUUGCUGGAGCCUCACGCUGAGACCCUGCACCAGGCACUGCACCGGUGCACCUGCUGCCCUGGACUCACCUGGCACGGCUUCUGCAGUCUGCAGACAGUUUUGUCUGAAGGUGGCCGGUGGGCCUUUGCCUGGCAGUGGCAACCCCUGGGUCAGCUGGCUUAUUGGUCCCGGGGACCCCGCCGACACUGUUAGCUGUCUCUGAGCUUCUGAGUGACUCUCACAUGAGCAUCUCACGCCCCACGUGGUGGAGCCGCCAGCACUGUCCCUCCGUGGCGCGUG
ensembl:lncRNA novel transcript